rnacentral:rRNA from 1 species
UACAGAGGCCUCGAGCGUUAGGCGGAAUCACUGGGCUUAAAGCGUGUGUAGGCGGACUUCUAAGUACCUUGUGAAAUCCCACGGCUUACCCGUGGAACGGCUGGGUAUACUGGUUGUCUUGAGCCACUUAGGGGCUACCGGAACAAAUGGUGGAGCGGUGAAAUGCGUAGAUAUCGUAAGGAACGCCAGUGGCGAAAGCGAGUCUCUGGGCAGCAUCUGACACUGAGGCACGAAGGCCAGGGGAGCAAACGGG